UGAUGCCUUUAUGCUCAGGCUGUGCUUGCAUGAGAGUCUGGGAAAAUUCCAAGGAUUGUGAAGUCAUUACCUGUAAGUGUCAAAACACCCAAAGGUGAUGAAGCACACCAACAAAGACCUGGUGAUGGGGUAAAUAAGGCCAUUGUACUUUGGAAUGGCUGCUCAAUGGCCCAGAAUGUUGCAAAAAUUGAUACUCACCUGCCUGCUUGUGCAAAAUAAUUUUAUUACAGAAGCACAGCCUGUUAUUCCUAA